rnacentral:tRNA from 1 species
GGAGGCGUGGCUGAGUGGUCGAAAGCGGCGGUCUUGAAAACCGUUAGAGCGCAAGUUCUCGUGGGUUCGAAUCCUACCGCCUCCGCCA